rnacentral:rRNA from 1 species
ACGGGGGGUGCAAGCGUUGUUCGGAAUUAUUGGGCGUAAAGCGCGUGUAGGCGGUUUGUUAAGUCUGAUGUGAAAGCCCCGGGCUCAACCUGGGAAGUGCAUUGGAAACUGGCAGUCUGGAAUACGGGAGAGGUGAGUGGAAUUCCGGGUGUAGGGGUGAAAUCCGUAGAUAUCCGGAGGAACACCGGUGGCGAAGGCGGCUGCCUGGCCCGAUACUGACGCUGAGGCGCGAAAGCGUGGGUAGCAAACAG